GAGGAAUUUUCCGCAAUGGGCGCAAGCCUGACGGAGCGACGCCGCGUGAGGGAUGACGGCCUUCGGGUUGUAAACCUCUUUUAUUAAGGAAAAAGGUUGCCAUGUUAAUACCAUGGUAAUUUGAUGGUACUUAUUGAAUAAGCCCCGGCUAACUACGUGCCAGCAGCCGCGGUAAUACGUAGGGGGCGAGCGUUGUCCGGAGUUACUGGGCGUAAAGAGCGUGUAGGCGGUUGGAAAAGUCAGGUGUGAAAUUUUUCGGCUCAACCGAGAGACUGCGCCUGAAACUUUCCGACUGGAGUUCGGGAGGGGCAACUGGAAUUCCUGGUGUAACGGUGAAAUGUGUAGAUAUCAGGAGGAACACCCGUGGCGAAGGCGGGUUGCUGGACCGAAACUGACGCUGAGACGCGAAAGCGUGGGUAGCAAAC
rnacentral:rRNA from 1 species